rnacentral:rRNA from 1 species
ACGGGAGGCAGCAGUGGGGAAUAUUGGACAAUGGGCGCAAGCCUGAUCCAGCCAUGCCGCGUGAGUGAUGAAGGCCCUAGGGUUGUAAAGCUCUUUUGUGCGGGAAGAUAAUGACGGUACCGCAAGAAUAAGCCCCGGCUAACUUCGUGCCAGCAGCCGCGGUAAUACGAAGGGGGCUAGCGUUGCUC